CUCUGUGACUCCUACGGGAGGCAGCAGUGGGGAAUAUUGCACAAUGGGGGAAACCCUGAUGCAGCCAUGCCGCGUGUGUGAAGAAGGCCUUCGGGUUGUAAAGCACUUUCAGUAGGGAGGAAGGUAGUGUAGUUAACACCUGCACUAUUUGACGUUACCUACAGAAGAAGCACCGGCUAACUCCGUGCCAGCAGCCGCGGUAAUACGGAGGGUGCGAGCGUUAAUCGGAAUUACUGGGCGUAAAGCGCAUGCAGGCGGCCUGUUAAGUCAGAUGUGAAAGCCCCGGGGCUUAACCUCGGAAUUGCAUUUGAAACUGGCAGGCUAGAGUCUUGUAGAGGGGGUAGAAUUUCAGGUGUAGCGGUGAAAUGCGUAGAGAUCUGAAGGAAUACCAGUGGCGAAGGCGGCCCCCUGGACAAAGACUGACGCUCAGAUGCGAAAGCGUGGGGAGCAAACAGGAUUAGAUACCCUGGGAG
rnacentral:rRNA from 1 species